rnacentral:rRNA from 1 species
CAGCAGCCACGGGAACACGGAGGGGGCUAGCGUUGUUCGGAAUUACUGGGCGUAAAGCGCACGUAGGCGGCUUGGUAAGUUAGAGGUGAAAGCCCGGAGCUCAACUCCGGAAUUGCCUUUAAGACUGCCGAGCUAGCAGGUGAGAGAGGUAAGUGGAAUUCCGAGUGUAGAGGUGAAAUUCGUAGAUAUUCGGAAGAACACCAGUGGCGAAGGCGGCUUACUGGCUCAUACUGGACGCUGAGGUGCGAAAGCGUGGGGAGCAAACAGGAUUAGAUACCCCUGUAGUCCCUGUCUCUUAUAC